AGUGGCAACCCAGCCAAAGCCACAGAUGUUGCUUCCUGGAUGUUACCGCAAGUUUGACUCAGGAGGGGAAGGGUUAAAGUACGGAGCUGAAGGAGGCUGGCAGCAGCAACGGUUCCCGUCGUCUCACCAUCCCAUCCCACAGCUACAGAUGCUUCCUGCCUGGAGAGUACGAGCCUUGGUGCCUUUUGUGUUUUACAAGCAAUUGGAGAUGACACCAAUGAUUAGGAAGCAAAGAGAAUUCCAGCAUGACUGGAGCUUGGGGAGAGAGGCUGAGAAUGGCCGAAAAUGAAUCUGAGGAGGUGGGUGG